UCCCAAGUGAAUCAUGUCGGUGGAAGUGAAUCAUCAGAGAGAAACUAUAAAGUCAGCUAGUUCCUUCUAAGGUGGUUCCCAGUCCGAAGAUGCGCCGCUGAUGGUCAGAAUGCCAGGUUCCCGUCGCGUCUGAGAGGGACGGCGGACGUCGAUGCAUAGAUUAAAAGAAGCAAAUUGAUCAUUAAAAACUACCUAAAGUUAAAAAAAAAGAAAAAACAUUUGAUUAUAUGAAAUAAUCCAUUGCAGGAAAUCGGAAAGAUGUAACAGGAACAAUACAUGAAAUUAGAUAAGAAGGAACUCGCAUCCGACCAAAUGAGAAAUAAAAGAAGAUUGAACGACUCUAUACAUCCAAUAAUUCUCCGAACUUUCCACAAUUCAAGUACCGUCGAUAAGAAGAACAGUAAAAACCUGUUGGAAGUCGAAAUAUUUCAAUUAAAGACUCUAUCUCCCGGGUACAGGUACAGUUGGAUGAUUUUUGAUUUGUAGUCGAAAUUUCCAUCGAGAGUUAGCCAAUUAUUAUGAUUUUUCUUUACUCCUGUCUCG
rnacentral:lncRNA from 1 species